ensembl:snRNA
AAAAAGGGCUUCUGCUGUGAUUGGCACAGAGGUGUCAGGUGACCUGGCGUCUUUGCGGAAUCGCUAUCAAGAGAUUUCGGAAGCACAAUUUUUAUAAACCGAGGCUGCUGGUAACCGGAAGUUCUAGCGCCUCA